UAAAGUGUCAACAAAGAUUGUGUAUCUU
rnacentral:sRNA from 1 species